CCUAGGGAGGCUGCAGUGAGGAAUAUUGCACAAUGGGGGGAACCCUGAUGCAGCAACGCCGCGUGGAGGAUGACGCAUUUCGGUGUGUAAACUCCUUUUAUAUGUCAAGAAAAUGACGGUAGCAUAUGAAUAAGCACCGGCUAACUCCGUGCCAGCAGCCGCGGUAAUACGGAGGGUGCAAGCGUUACUCGGAAUCACUGGGCGUAAAGGACGCGUAGGCGGGUUGGAAAGUCAGGUGUGAAAUCCUACAGCUUAACUGUAGAACUGCACUUGAAACUUCUAAUCUAGAGUAUGGGAGGGGGAGAUGGAAUUAGUGGUGUAGGGGUAAAAUCCGUAGAUAUCACUAGGAAUACCUAAAGCGAAGGCGAUCUCCUGGAACAUUACUGACGCUAAGGCGUGAAAGCGUGGGGAGCAAACAGGAUUAGAUACCCCUGUAGUC
rnacentral:rRNA from 1 species